GAUGAACGCUGGCGGCGUGCCUAAUACAUGCAAGUCGAGCGAACAGACGAGGAGCUUGCUCCUCUGACGUUAGCGGCGGACGGGUGAGUAACACGUGGAUAACCGACCUAUAAGACUGGGAUAACUUCGGGAAACCGGAGCUAAUACCGGAUAAUAUAUUGAACCGCAUGGUUCAAUAGUGAAAGACGGUUUUGCUGUCACUUAUAGAUGGAUCCGCGCCGCAUUAGCUAGUUGGUAAGGUAACGGCUUACCAAGGCGACGAUGCGUAGCCGACCUGAGAGGGUGAUCAGCCACACUGGAACUGAGACACGGUCCAGACUCCUACGGGAGGCAGCAGUAGGGAAUCUUCCGCAAUGGGCGAAAGCCUGACGGAGCAACGCCGCGUGAGUGAUGAAGGUCUUCGGAUCGUAAAACUCUGUUAUUAGGGAAGAACAAAUGUGUAAGUAACUAUGCACGUCUUGACGGUACCUAAUCAGAAAGCCACGGCUAACUACGUG
rnacentral:rRNA from 1 species